rnacentral:rRNA from 1 species
GACGAACGCUGGCGGCGUGCCUAAUACAUGCAAGUCGAACGCACUCUCGUUUAGAUUGACGGAGUUUGCUCCUGAUUGAUAAACAUUUGAGUGAGUGGCGGACGGGUGAGUAACACGUGGGUAACCUGCCCUAAAGUGGGGGAUAACAUUUGGAAACAGAUGCUAAUACCGCAUAAAACCUAACACGGCAUGGUUAAGGGUUGAAAGAGGGUUCCGGCAAUCCCUUUAGAAUGGACCCGCGGUGCAUUAGUUAGUUGGUGAGGUAAAGGCUCACCAAGACCGUGAUGCAUAGCCGACCUGAGAGGGUAAUCGGCCACACUGGGACUGAGACACGGCCCAGACUCCUACGGGAGGCAGCAGUAGGGAAUCUUCCACAAUGGACGAAAGUCUGAUGGAGCAACGCCACGUGAGUGAAGAAGGUUUUCGGAUCGUAAAACUCUGUUGUUGGAGAAGAAUGUAUCUGAUAGUAACUGAUCAGGUAGUGACGGUAUCCAACCAGAAAGCCACGGCUAACUACGUG